rnacentral:piRNA from 1 species
UCAUAUCUUGAUUUCACCCAA